rnacentral:rRNA from 1 species
GAUGAACGCUGGCGGCGUGCCUAAUACAUGCAAGUCGAGCGAACAGAUGAGGAGCUUGCUCCUCUGACGUUAGCGGCGGACGGGUGAGUAACACGUGGAUAACCUACCUAUAAGACUGGGAUAACUUCGGGAAACCGGAGCUAAUACCGGAUAAUAUAUUUAACCGCAUGGUUCAAUAGUGAAAGACGGUUUUGCUGUCACUUAUAGAUGGAUCCGCGCCGCAUUAGCUAGUUGGUAAGGUAACGGCUUACCAAGGCAACGAUGCGUAGCCGACCUGAGAGGGUGAUCGGCCACACUGGAACUGAGACACGGUCCAGACUCCUACGGGAGGCAGCAGUAGGGAAUCUUCCGCAAUGGGCAAAAGCUUGACGGAGCAACGCCGCGUGAGUGAUGAAGGUCUUCGGAUCGUAAAACUCUGUUAUUAGGGAAGAACAAAUGUGUAAGUAACUAUGCACGUCUUGACGGUACCUAAUCAGAAAGCCACGGCUAACUACGUG